UACGAAGGGUGCAAGCGUUAUUCGGAAUCAUUGGGCGUAAAGCGCGCGCAGGCGGAUCAGCAAGUCAGAUGUGAAAUCUCAGGGCUCAACCCUGAAACUGCGUCUGAAACUGCUAGUCUAGAGUGUCGGAGGGGGGUAGGGGAAUUUCACGUGUAGGGGUAAAAUCCGUAGAGAUGUGAAGGAACACCGGGGGCGAAGGCGCCUACCUGGACGACUACUGACGCUGAGGCGCGAAAGCGUGGGGAGCAAACAGG
rnacentral:rRNA from 1 species